UGCUUAACACAUGCAAGUCGAACGGCAGCACGGUCUAGCUUGCUAGAUGGGUGGCGAGUGGCGAACGGGUGAGUAACGCGUAGGAAUAUGCCUUGAAGUUUGGGAUAACAUGGGGAAACUCAUGCUAAUACCGGAUGAGCUCGAGAGAGGAAAGCUGGGGACCUUUUGGCCUGGCGCUUUAAGAUUAGCCUGCGUCCGAUUAGCUAGUUGGUGGGGUAAGGGCCUACCAAGGCGACGAUCGGUAGCUGGUCUGAGAGGAUGGCCAGCCACACUGGGACUGAGACACGGCCCAGACUCCUACGGGAGGCAGCAGUGGGGAAUAUUGGACAAUGGGGGGAACCCUGAUCCAGCAAUGCCGCGUGUGUGAAGAAGGCCUGAGGGUUGUAAAGCACUUUCAGUGGGGAGGAGGAUUGAUUGGUUAAGAGCUGAUUGAUUGGACGUUACCCACAGAAGAAGCACCGGCUAACUCCGUGCCAGCAGCCGCGGUAAUACGGAGGGUGCGAGCGUUAAUCGGAAUUACUGGG
rnacentral:rRNA from 1 species